UGGGGAAUAUUGCACAAUGGGCGCAAGCCUGAUGCAGCCAUGCCGCGUGUGUGAAGAAGGCCUUCGUGUUGUAAAGCACUUUCAGCUGGGAGGAAGGCGGUGAGGUUAAUAACCUCAUCGAUUGACGUUACCCGCAGAAGAAGCACCGGCUAACUCCGUGCCAGCAGCCGCGGUAAUACGGAGGGUGCAAGCGUUAAUCGGAAUUACUGGGCGUAAAGCGCACGCAGGCGGUCUGUCAAGUCGGAUGUGAAAUCCCCGGGCUCAACCUGGGAACUGCAUUCGAAACUGGCAGGCUAGAGUCUUGUAGAGGGGGGUAGAAUUCCAGGUGUAGCGGUGAAAUGCGUAGAGAUAUGGAGGAAUAACGGUGGCGAAGGCGGCCACCUGGACAAAGACUGACGCUCAGGUGCGAAAGCGUGGGGAGCAAACAGG
rnacentral:rRNA from 1 species